CUCUCGGCAACACCUCUUUCUCUCCCUCAACAGAGACCCAAAACCAAAACCUCACUCUCCCAAACCCUCACUCUUCGCUGGCGCCUCACCUUAAAAACCAAAACCAGGCUCUCUAAUCGAUUAAUGCCCUAAACCCAAAAUGAGUCGUCCUCCGAUGUCUCUUCCAGAUCCCCAUUACACUGCUGAAUUCGAAAUCCCCAAUUUUCUAGGGUUUCAAUUUUUAAUCUCAAGAGGAAAAUGUUGAAGCGGAAGGCAUCAUGGAAGAGGAUGUUCCCCCUCACCAUCUCCGGUACCUGCCUCUCAAGGCCAUCAUCGCCAAUAAUCCAAGUGUCGUCAUCUUCUUCAUCGAUCUGAGGGCUUGUCCGACAACCGCUACUAUGGCGGCAAUGAGUACAUCGCCAUGUUCCAGCCCCAUGACCGAAUCAUGGGCUCCCCUCUGUUGGUCACUUGACCUAUGGUUACUACACCUCCGGCGAGAAGAAGAUCUCAACCAACUCUCUCUCUUCCUCUAGUCUGAAAUCCAAGCUAGCUAUCACCGUCAGCCAGCCCUCUUCUGCUUCGCUUCAAUUCAAUUAUAGCAGAAUUCUGGAUCACCGGAACUUCAUGUGCCACUGUAGCUUGCAGACAUGCUUGGCAACUGAGUCUAUUUUAUCACUGGUCAAAAUGAGAUGAUAUUCUCCAUGACGAGGAAGCCUUGUCUACCGCAACAUGUUUGGCGCUUUUGAUGUCUUAGAAGAAAUGAAGGCAGAGACGACACAGCCUAUAGAACCUGAUCACACAACUGGGAUAAUGAAGAUGAGUUCGACAAGAUCACACAACCUAUAGCACUUUAUCUUCUUCUUCAGCUAAUCUGGGCUUUGUGGAGCAACCGACUUCUUGAGUUGCAGAACUCUUCAGAAUCUGCUAUUUAUAUUGCAAUGGCAACAAGCAAGGGAUGUGAAGGAGACCUAGGUGUAGCAAAGAAUGUAGAGACGGUGAUGCAGCAAGAAAGCACAUACAGAAGCUUCCAAAGCUAGACUCCAAUGAGGCCAUGAGAGCAGCAAAGUUAGACUCCUUAAGUAAAUUUCUCGAUGUAUAUUGCUAGGAGAGU